UUCUCUACUCUCCUCCAUCUUUCUCUUCUCUUUUUAUUUAUUUUUUUAUUUGUCAAAUUAACAGUUUGUUUGCCUAAUUUCUAUGCCUAUAAAGAUUUUGAAUUUAAUGGCUGAAGACGAUACAAGCAUGGGAAGCAAGGCAUGAAGCUGGGCUGAUCGGUGGGUUUCAGGACGUUUUGAUGGAGAAGAUGAUGACAGACUCAUGGCAAAGAAAAGGGAUAGCAAUGGGAACACUCGGAAGAAGAUGGCGGAGGUCAAGGCAGCAGCUCAGAAGGCAAAGCGGUACUUUAGUGGGGGUAUCAAAUAGGUCAAGAACCAGUACCAGAGGAAGUGUUCAAAAUAAAUUGUAGAGCUCCGAGUGUGGCAUAGUAAAGUAGGCUAGAAUCUGGAUGGUAAUAAAAUGGUAUUCAAAAUAGCUUGUCAUUUCCAUGAUCCAGGAGUCAAUGGAGAUGCAUUUACUUACAGAAUUCUUUCCUUAUCUUUUUACAUUGAUGCAAAUUUCUCUUCUUUUUUUUUUUUUUUAUCUUUCUGAUCAAAUAAGCAAAAAUGCCCUUCGAACUCUUUAAAAUUCAAAUAAGCUUAUCUCAAGUUAUUCGGUCAAAUGUCAUACUUGAAACUUAAUUUCUGACAACUUCCAUAUAUUGAACCCAGCUGGCGUCUUAGUGACAGUUUUCAGUAGAAUCAGCUCAAAGCAGAGUCGUUUUGGGUUGAUUUGACAGAGCAAAGCAAGCAGAUGGAUAUCAUUCGAACCACAAUUCCCAGGGCAUCAUUUAUUUAUUCAUUCAUUCAUCUUCUAACGCCAUGCUUCGUGCAUCAUUGCAAAAUAACCAGUCAGGCACAUGCAUAACGAACUCAACCAGCCAUGAAUCACCCACAGCAUGGCAUCCACUCAGCACAGAUUGUAAUAAAGAGUAACGAACACAAAUUGGAGAAUAGUUCACUUAAUAUAGACAGCCAAUUAUCCGAA